CAUUAAGUGUACCGUAGUGAUUUGGGAUGAGACAAAACGUUGUUUGGAAGAUGAAUAUAAGUGGCCAGAUAAAAUAAAAAUACUAAAGUAAAUUAAGACUAAAUAAUUUUUAUGCUCCAUUUACACCAUUCAGGCUUAAUAUUAAAUUAAUAAUUGUUAAAAAGUAAAAGUGAAAGUAGUAAGCUUUGCACUUGAAACAAAGACCGCAUUAAAGAAAAGACUGCACAAAAGCUUCUUCCUGCUUUGGCAAUGGGCUUUACUUCUGCAGAAGUAGUAAACGCAUUGGCUUUUCAUUUUUGGGGAAUUUUUUUUCUUUUUACCACUAUUUAUUAAUUCUUAGUCCAGGUAAAAUACUGUUGUCUGCAUAACCAUGUUUUGACAUUUAUCACCAUCACAGGAUGUGCACACAUAAAAGUCAUCGAGGCAAGAAAACCAGCCGAUCAGUGCGAGUCGGGUCUCUCUUCGAGAGAUCAAAACUCAGCUUGUCAUCUUGGCUAAUAUUCAUUUACAGGUUUGCUCAAGGAUUGCGGAUUAGACAAAUUGAUAUGAUGCAAGAUGGCAUUGCAAAAAGUUCCAGAACCCUCUCUAAGAUGGCUCGUAUCAUGAGGAAAGUUUGCCACUGUGCUAUAAAACGAUACAGACGAAGACAUGGACAAAUGAUUGGAAGUGCUCGAGAAUUUGCUGUUCUUGAUGAAAGUAACUUCCGUCAUAAACGAAAGUAUGGACGAGGGAGAGCAUCAACAACAUGGAGGCGAAAAAAAUGGGUCCUUGGCAUGCUAGGUGUGAGGGAUAAAUGCA